rnacentral:rRNA from 1 species
UGCGUAGGCGGCCUUUUAAGUCAGAGGUGAAAUGUGACGGCUCAACCGUCAAACUGCCUCUGAAACUGAAAGGCUUGAGUUCGAGAGAGGAAGGUGGAAUUCCAGGUGUAGCGGUGAAAUGCGUAAAUAUCUGGAGGAACACCAGUGGCGAAGGCGGUCUUCUGGCUCGAAACUGACGCUCAGGCACGAAAGCAUGGGGAGCGAACAGGAUUAGAUACCCUGGUAGUCC